UACGUAGGUGGCGAGCGUUGUCCGGAUUUACUGGGCGUAAAGAGCGCGCAGGCGGUCGUUCAAGUCGCGUGUGAAAGCCCCCGGCUCAACUGGGGAGGGUCACGCGAUACUGAUCGACUCGAAGGCAGGAGAGGGAAGUGGAAUUCCCGGUGUAGUGGUGAAAUGCGUAGAUAUCGGGACGAACACCAGUGGCGAAGGCGACUUCCUGGCCUGUUCUUGACGCUGAGGCGCGAAAGCUAGGGGAGCAAACAGG
rnacentral:rRNA from 1 species